CCUACGGGAGGCAGCAGUGAGGAAUAUUGGUCAAUGGGCGCGAGCCUGAACCAGCCAAGUAGCGUGAAGGAUGACUGUCCUACGGAUUGUAAACCUCUUUUGUAAAGGAAUAAAGUGAGGCACUUGUGCCUUUUUGUGUGUACUUUAUGAAUAAGCAUCGGCUAACUCCGUGCCAGCAGCCGCGGUAAUACGGAGGAUUCAAGCGUUAUCCGGAUUUAUUGUGUUUAAAGGGUGCGUAGGCGGUCGGAUUAGUUAGAGGUGAAAUGCCGAGGCUCAACUUCGGCAUGGCCUUUGAUCCUGUCCGGCGAGAGAGGAGUUGAGGUACGCGGAAUGUACGGUGUAGCGGUGAAAUGCUUAGAGAUCACACAGAACCCCGAUUGCGAAGGCAGCGUACCAGGCUAAUUCUGACGUUGAGGUACGAAAGCGUGGGGAUCGAACAGGAUUAGAGACCCUAGAAGUC
rnacentral:rRNA from 1 species